GACAGAGGGUGCAAACGUUGUUCGGAUUUACUGGGCGUAAAGCGCGUGUAGGCGGCUUGGCAAGUCGGAUGUGAAAGCCCACGGCUCAACCGUGGAAGCGCAUCCGAAACGGCCUCGCUCGAGUCUCGGAGAGGAAGGUGGAAUGCUUGGUGUAGAGGUGAAAUGCGCAGAUAUCAGGAGGAACACCAAUUGCGAAGGCAGCUCGCUGGGACGUAACUGACGCUGAGACGCGAAAGCGUGGGGAGCAAACAGG
rnacentral:rRNA from 1 species